UCUUAUGGACGAGUCUGACGGAGCACGCCGCGUGAGUGAUGAAGGCUUUCGGGUCGUAAAACUCUGUUGUUAGGGAAGAACAAGUACGAGAGUAACUGCUCGUACCUUGACGGUACCUAACCAGAAAGCCACGGCUAACUACGUGCCAGCAGCCGCGGUAAUACGUAGGUGGCAAGCGUUAUCCGGAAUUAUUGGGCGUAAAGCGCGCGCAGGCGGUUUCUUAAGUCUGAUGUGAAAGCCCACGGCUCAACCGUGGAGGGUCAUUGGAAACUGGGGAACUUGAGUGCAGAAGAGAAAAGCGGAAUUCCACGUGUAGCGGUGAAAUGCGUAGAGAUGUGGAGGAACACCAGUGGCGAAGGCGGCUUUUUGGUCUGUAACUGACGCUGAGGCGCGAAAGCGUGGGGAGCAAACAGGAUUAGAUACCCUGGUAGUCCACGCCGUAAACGAUGAGUGCUAAGUGUUAGAGGGUUUCCGCCCUUUAGUGCUGCAGCUAACGCAUUAAGCACUC
rnacentral:rRNA from 2 species